ensembl:lncRNA
UCACAAGACUAUUUCAGUUUGAGAGGAUGCAUGUAUUACAGGUGUAUUUUGAUAUACUUUUUUCUUUAACAGAUGUCUAAAGUAUUUAAGGGAUCCUAUCUGAGCCGCAAGUACAUUAGAUCCCACGUUGUCGCUCUAAGCCCAGAUCCUGGUGGAGUGCUUGUAUCUGUUGCUCUGGUAUUUAAAUUUGCCUCUGCUGACAGUAAGGCAACAAGCUGGAGUCAUGUCAACAGAGUGUUACGUAGAAGGCUUGAAACAAGCUCAACGUUCUUGAAUGUUGACCAGUCUACCAUUAAACUCACAGAAUUGAAUAAGGAGAACGGAGAUAACCUUAUAAACAANGAUUGCUGAGACAAGCCAGCUUCUGUCCACCGCUUUUGAAUGUGUCCACUUCUUGCUUCGUAUGAACAGCCCCUACCACAGCAUUUGCCAUGAAAGUGAUUUUUGGACUUGAGAUGAAAUAGUACUUUGUGUUCACACUAGUCUGUUGCUGUACGUAAAUAUCUGACUGAAUGAAAUUCCAUUUUAAAACUUCCCGGUUUGUAUUGUUUCUAAUAGAAGUCUUGAGCUUUUUGUGCAGGUUUGUAACAAUCUCAGGAUGAACAUUGCUAAAAACCAUCUCCAAAACCUGCUUAUUCUCAUGAAUGGUGUUCUCAAGCCUUACUAAUACAGAAAAGUUCAUGUGUAUCUCUUCAGUUGCAUUCAAAAAAAAAAAAAAAAAAUUGCCUUAGUGUUGUGGUGGAAAUACCUAUCUACAUGUCUACUUCAGAACAAAGAAUGACCCAUAAGUCAAAGUAAAGAUUUUUUUCCUGUCAGGAAUUAAUGCCUGUGUCUUAUUGCUAGACUAUAGAUAACCUGUCUGAUCCCAUAAACUUCAUAGUCUCUCUGCCUUCAUUUUCAGGAGCUGAUGUUUCUCAAACUUUCUAUACCCUAGAAGUGGAAUGUGCCUGUUCUUUUUGAGGAUGCCCUCCUUAAUGCAUCUGCAGAGUAUUUCCAAUGUUUUAUUCUGGUUGCUAAUACUGACAACAGUGAGUGAUCUUAAUUGCUAGAUGCAGGAGAUACUCAUUUGCUUUUGAUGGUUGGAAGAGGAACAACUCAGCAAAGGAAAUACUAGCCACACUGCUGAGACCCAGAGCUGAUCCAGUGUGGCAGACAAGCCAGGCCAGAAAAGACAAGCAAAGGAGCAGGCUUUCUGGCAUUUUCAUAGUUAAAAGAUCUGGGGAUAGGGGGCCCUCACUAAUUAUACUCUUGAAGUGUUGUCCAAAUUCAGUACAGGUCAGUCAACAUCAACCGGGUUAAUCCUAGGGAUCUUUGCAGCUUGCUUUAAGCCCUGCCCAACAGAGCAGCAACCCAUCAAGUUUAUGGAAUUACUUUAUUACACAUCCUCCACAUUACUCCCUGUGAUUUAGGUGCCUGUAAGCACAGUGAACCAUGCUUUGUCUUUACUGGAGGUGUGGGGUAUUUGGACACUCAGAAAAGAUUUGCAUGAGGGAAAAGGGUCUGAAGCUGUUGUUCUGUGCUUGUGUAUAUUGUGAAGACCCAGCAUUUAAAAUGUCCUCCUAGGGAGCUUUUUGUAUGGAAUGCUGUGUGAUCUAAAAAUAAAACUUGGGUGGCCUAAGUUUUAGGUAGGGAAUAAGAAGUAUCAAAGUGAUUCCGUAGGUUUGAGGCAGAGAAAUCCCAUUUUCGUCCCUUAAGCAGAACUUGGAUUUGAAUUAUAUUGCCUGUAUAUUAUGCAUGACAAAUGUAAGAAUUGUUUUUUUUGGCUGGUAACUAUACCUAGACAAUGAGUCACCUUGAAGAAAAGCAUUAUUAAGAGACUCCACGACUUUUCAGUUCCCAAAGCUCUUCAGACUUGGGUUUUCAAAGGACAAAUUUCACUGUAAUUUGGGAACAUAAUAUUUUUAGACCCGCAAAUCUCAGCUAUUUCACUGUUUUCCAAAAAACAGGUAAGUGGAUGUCCAAAGGAUUUCUUUUGAAUUUUUGAACUUUCUAGUUGCGCUUGAACAAAAUGAGAAAGCGUUAAGCGUUUUGCUAUGUGCAAAGGGCUUCUAUGAGUGUAAUCCUCCCAAGUAGUGCACGCAAAGCUGAAAAAGUGAACUUCAGUGUUUACUUUGAUUUUUCUGAUUCUGAGUAUCCAGGUGGAGAGAUCUAGUACGUGAUUCACCUUAAUGCUGAGCGCCAAUGCAGAGUAGCCAGGAGGGGGGGCUGUAGAUGAACAGGCACCUACACAGUGUGUGUUUUGGGAGCCUUUUUUUGGAUUCCAAUUUUCAUGAUAGCAGCUAGAACAAGCUUUCCUGUCUAGUUUCUCCUGGAAGCAAUGUGGGUUGCAUGCUCUGAGGCCUCUUGACUAUGCAAAGCAGUAAAAAUGAAAAUGCAAUAAGAUCACUUCAAAGAAUGUGCCUCAUCCACAGGAAUGCUGGUGCAGAUGGACCUGAUGGAUCCGAAUCCCUUUCUUAUGGCGAAAACACAAUGAUGUCAGCAUUGUCUAGCUUUUCCCGAGAGAAAUUGUGGAAACCUGAAAUAAUGUAGGCAGCAAAAAUUUUGUUUGCUUUAGGUGGCCUAGCAGAUAUGUAUUUUUUUCUAAGCUGAAGUCUUAAAUUUUUAUGAAAAGACAAGAUUUAUCUGUUUUCCACCAUGUUUUUGUUUGGAAUUAUCAUCAAGGUGGAAUGAGAUCCAUCUAACUGUACUAACAGACAUGGCACACAGGAAUGUAAUUUAUGUGUUAAUUUAAUAAAAAUAGUUAAAAAUAAUGUCUUCUCUUCCACUUAUUUGUUAAUUUCCUUUGUCAUGGCAAACAACUGUGAGCUAGGGUCUGAUCUGUUUUACAACGUUGCAGUGAUUCUGUACCAUGUACUUAUGUACUGGCUUUUAUGUGGUCCUUGAACAUCUGUCUUCAUUGGUGUGUUUGAGGAGUGUUGCUGUGCUCAUUUGUAAAGGGCUUAAUCCACCUGCCCUAAGGUUACCCAGUUUUUCAUGCAUUCAGGCAAAAGCAAGGUCUUGUGUCAGCC